AUUGAACGCUGGCGGCAUGCUUUACACAUGCAAGUCGAGCGGCAGCGCGGGGGCAACCCUGGCGGCGAGCGGCGGACGGGUGAGUAGAGCAUCGGAACGUAUCCCGUAGUGGGGGACAACCCAGCGAAAGCUGGGCUAAUACCGCAUAUGCUCUACGGAGGAAAGUGGGGGACCUGCAAGGGCCUCACGCUAUGGGAGCGGCCGAUGUCCGAUUAGCUUGUUGGUGGGGUAAUGGCCCACCAAGGCGACGAUCGGUAGCUGGUCUGAGAGGAUGAUCAGCCACACUGGGACUGAGACACGGCCCAGACUCCUACGGGAGGCAGCAGUGGGGAAUUUUGGACAAUGGGGGCAACCCUGAUCCAGCCAUGCCGCGUGCGGGAAGAAGGCCUUCGGGUUGUAAACCGCUUUUGUCUGGGAAGAAAAGGCCUUGGCUAAUACCUGGGGUUCUUGACGGUACUGGAAGAAUAAGCACCGGCUAACUACGUGCCAGCAGCCGCGGUAAUACGUAGGGUGCGAGCGUUAAUCGGAAUUACUGGGCGUAAAGCGUGCGCAGGCGGUGAGUUAAGUCUGAUGUGAAAGCCCCGGGCUCAACCUGGGAACGGCAUUGGAAACUGGCUCGCUGGAGUGUGGCAGAGGGGGGUGGAAUUCCGCGUGUAGCAGUGAAAUGCGUAGAGAUGCGGAGGAACACCGAUGGCGAAGGCAGCCCCCUGGGCCAACACUGACGCUCAGGCACGAAAGCGUGG
rnacentral:rRNA from 1 species